GAUGAAGAACGCAGCGAAAUGCGUUAAGUAAUGUGAAUUGCAGAAUUCAGUGAAUCAUCGAAUCUUUGAACGCACAUUGUGCCCGCCAGUAUUCUGGCGGGCAUGCCUGUUCGAGCGUCAUUACAACCCUCAGGCCCCCGGGCCUGGCGUUGGGGAUCGGCGGAAGCCCCCUGCGGGCACAACGCCGUCCCCCAAAUACAGUGGCGGUCCCGCCGCAGCUUCCAUUGCGUAGUAGCUAACACCUCGCAACUGGAGAGCGGCGCGGCCACGCCGUAAAACACCCAACUUCUGAAUGUUGACCUCGAAUCAGGUAGGAAUACCCGCUGAACUUAAGCAUAUCAAUAAGCGGAGGA
rnacentral:misc_RNA from 1 species